UAGCACCUCCCGCUCUCUCUCUUCCUCUUGCUCUGGCCAUGUGAAGAAAUGCCUGCUUUGCCUUCUGCCACAAUUGCACACGGGAUGUUUGUGCUUCCUCAUCUCUAAAAGUCAGUUACAGCCAUCUGGCUGUCAUUGACCAAUGAAGUGGGAACAGAAGCGAUAUGUGUCACUUCAGGCAGAAGCACGGAAGAGCUACGGUGGGAUUCUCCAGGCUGUCUUCCCUUGCAAAGGUGAAUCUUGAAGCCACACAUUGAGCUGACAACAUUGAAGGAUAAUAAAGCCUCCAGCAACUUCCAUUCCAGGAUGACAAUGAAAGCAGGGGCGACUUGUGUGAGUAAGAAAGAAACCUUUGUUAAGUCACUGAGAUUGUGGGGGUGUUCUCCUUUUUUGAGACAAAAAUCUCAUUCUGUUGUCCAGGCUGGAUUGCAG
rnacentral:lncRNA from 1 species